GAGUUUGAUCAUGGCUCAGAUUGAACGCUGGCGGAAUGCUUUACACAUGCAAGUCGAACGGCAGCAUAGAGAGCUUGCUCUCUGAUGGCGAGUGGCGAACGGGUGAGUAAUAUAUCGGAACGUGCCUAGUAAUGGGGAAUAACUAGCUGAAAGGUUAGCUAAUGCCGCAUACGACCUACGGGUGAAAGCAGGGGAUCUUCGGACCUUGCGUUAUUAGAGCGGCCGAUAUCUGAUUAGCUUGUUGGUGGGGUAAUGGCCUACCAAGGCAACGAUCAGUAGCUGGUCUGAGAGGACGAUCAGCCACACUGGAACUGAGACACGGUCCAGACUCCUACGGGAGGCAGCAGUGGGGAAUUUUGGACAAUGGGGGCAACCCUGAUCCAGCCAUUCCGCGUGAGUGAAGAAGGCCUUCGGGUUGUAAAGCUCUUUCGCAAAAGAAGAAAACUUGCUAUCUAAUAAAUAGUAAGCAUGACGGUAUCUUGACAAGAAGCACCGGCUAACUACGUGCCAGCAGCCGCGGUAAUACGUAGGGUGCAAGCGUUAAUCGGAAUUACUGGGCGUAAAGCGUGCGCAGGCAGUCUUAUAAGUCAGAUGUGAAAUCCCCGAGCUCAACUUGGGAACUGCGUUUGAAACUGUAAGACUAGAGUGUGUCAGAGGGGGGUAGAAUUCCAAGUGUAGCAGUGAAAUGCGUAGAGAUUUGAGGAAUACAAUGGCGAAAGGCAGCCCCCUGGGAUAACACUGACGCUCAUGCACGAAAGCGUGGGGAGCAAACAGGAUUAGAUACCCUGGUAGUCCACGCCCUAAACGAUGUCUACUAGUUGUUGGUGGAGUAAAAUCCAUGAGUAACGCAGCUAACGCGUGAAGUAGACCGCCUGGGGAGUACGGUCGCAAGAUUAAAACUCAAAUGAAUUGACGGGGGCCCGCACAAGCGGUGGAGCAUGUGGUUUAAUUCGAUGCAACGCGAAAAACCUUACCUAUGCUUGACAUACUUGGAAUACUUUGUAAUGAAGUAGUGCCUUCGGGAGCCAAGAUACAGGUGCUGCAUGGCUGUCGUCAGCUCGUGUCGUGAGAUGUUCCGUUAAGUCGGAUAACGAGCGCAACCCUUACCCUUAUUUGCCAGCGAUUCGGUCGGGAACUAUAAGGGGACUGCCGGUGAUAAACCGGAGGAAGGUGAGGACGACGUCAAGUCAUCAUGGCCCUUACGACCUGGGCUACACACGUGCUACAAUGGCCGGUACAGAGGGCUGCUAACCCGCGAGGGGGCGCUAAUCCCACAAAACCGGUCGUAGUCCGGAUCGCAGUCUGCAACUCGACUGCGUGAAGUCGGAAUCGCUAGUAAUCGCAAAUCAGAAUGUUGCGGUGAAUACGUUCCCGGGCCUUGUACACACCGCCCGUCACACCACGGGAGUGGGUUGCAAAAGAAGUGGGUAGUCUAACCUUCGGGGGGACGCUCACCACUUUGUGAUUCAUGACUGGGGUGAAGUCGUAACAAGGUAACC
rnacentral:rRNA from 1 species